GUACGGGAGGCAGCAGUGGGGAAUCUUGCGCAAUGGGCGAAAGCCUGACGCAGCAACGCCGCGUGCGGGAUGAAGGCCUUCGGGUUGUAAACCGCUUUCAGCAGGGACGAAUUUUGACGGUACCUGCAGAAGAAGCCCCGGCCAACUACGUGCCAGCAGCCGCGGUAACACGUAGGGGGCGAGCGUUGUCCGGAUUUAUUGGGCGUAAAGAGCUCGUAGGCGGCUCGGUAAGUCAACUGUGAAAGCUCCGGGCUCAACUCGGAGAGGCCAGUUGAUACUGCUGUGGCUAGAGUCCGGUAGGGGAGCGUGGAAUUCCUGGUGUAGCGGUGAAAUGCGCAGAUAUCAGGAGGAACACCAGCGGCGAAGGCGGCGCUCUGGGCCGGAACUGACGCUGAGGAGCGAAAGCGUGGGUAGCAAACAGGCUUAGAUACCCCGGUAGG
rnacentral:rRNA from 1 species